AGCAGCCGCGGUAAUUCCAGCUCCAAUAGCGUAUAUUAAAGUUGUUGCAGUUAAAAAGCUCGUAGUUGAAUUUCGGGGUCUAUCCGUUGGUCGGGCUUUUGGGUCCGUACUGGCGUUAUGGAUUCCUACCUUCUGAAUAACCGGUAUGUCAUUAAUUUGGUGUGCUGGGGAAGCAGGACUGUUACCUUGAAAAAUUAGAGUGCUUAAAGCAGGCUAUCGCCUGAAUACAUUAGCAUGGAAUAAUGAAAUAGGACGGCAUGGUUCUAUUUUGUUGGUUUCUAGGAUCACCGUAAUGAUUAAUAGGGAUAGUUGGGGGCAUUAGUAUUCAAUUGUCAGAGGUGAAAUUCUUGGAUUUAUUGAAGACUAACUUCUGCGAAAGCAUUUGCCAAGGAUGCUUUCAUUAAUCAAGAACGAAAGUUAGGGGAUCGAAGACGAUCAGAUACCGUCGUA
rnacentral:rRNA from 1 species